UGUUGCACGUGUACCCUUCGACGCGCAUUGGAUCAUCUCUUGGAGUCCUCUCCUCUCCUGUGGCUUUCUUCAGUUGCUUCAUCAUUUUGGUUCUGGUUAUGUGCUUACUUCAGUUACCAUUGUUACUAAGAAUGAAAACAUAGCAAUCAUAUGGCCGAUGUGUACUGACUUAUCAACUAAAGUAAAAAAAUAAGUCACAUACAUGAUAGCCUGAUUCAAGGAACAGGCAAAAAUAAGGAACACUAGAAGGAACCAUUCACUCCUAUUCAUGAUUAUUUAUCUUCUUUGGUUGUCCACAAUCAGCAAAAGGAUGUUUGUACCUUCUCUAGGCCAGGCGUCGACGCAGAGGCAGAUGCACAACAGGAGCUCCAGAUGCACAACAGGAGCUCGUCGACGGUGGCUCAUCACGGAGAAAAGAACUAAACAUGUGCAUGAUCUCCUAAUGUGCAGAAGACAUUUCCAACACACACACACACACACACUUGUUGAUUUCGUGCUCAUAUGACCACAGCACACGCAAGCAUGGGCUAGAGAUGAAUAAAGAUCAC
rnacentral:lncRNA from 1 species